rnacentral:precursor_RNA from 1 species
GGAAGAUAAAAAGUUUAAAAUAAUUUGAAACCCGGGGUCGAGAGAAGACUUCCCUAAAACUUUGUUCCUAGCGAAUCUUGUUCAAGUUUUCCUAAGUACAAAUAAAAAACGUUUUUGUUUUUUAUUUAUACAAACUUAGGAAAGCCUAAAUAUUUUGCGUAAGCAGAAAAAUUGGCUUCGUUUGUAAUUUAGAAAUCCUUUAAAGCUUUGCCCAUUGCUUUACAAACGUAGUUUGUAAAACUUCAUUAUAAACGCAGUUUAUAAUUUAGGUUUAUGCAUUCGCAUAAACUUUAAGACUAUUCCAAAGUUACUAAACGUAGUUUAGUCACCAAGGUUUUACAAGCGUAGCUUGUAAAACGUCCUACGGACAAAUUCUAAUUAAGCAAGGGAGUAUAGCUCAGUUGGUAGAGCGCUGCCUUUGCAAGGCAGAUGUCAGCGGUUCGAGUCCGCUUACUUCCACCAGCUUCUUAAUUAUUAGCUGGUUUUCUAACUAAAUGUUAUUAUUACCUAAGCUUAAAAGCUUUGCUUUUAAAUUGAAGGCUUUUCAAGCGUAGCUUGAAAACUCUUAACAAGCUUUGCUUGUUUUGGUAGAGAUCAAAUGAAGAAAACGUUACGGUGGAUACCUAGGCAUCUAGAGACGAUGAAGGGCGUGGAAACCAACGAAAUGCUUCGAGGAGCUGGAAACAAGCUAUGAUUCGGAGAUUCCCGAAUAGGGCAACC